CCCACCUGACUAUUGACCUUCGACCUGAUGGUGAACUAAAACUGAGGUUGAAACAAGCAAAGAAAGGCGAUAUGGAGGACAGAAAAAAAUGUAGAAUUUGAUAUCUUCCCAAAUUCAUAUCUUGAGAAACAUUUUAAGAGUAUUUGGAAACAAUUGAGACAGCAAAAUUUCAGAAGUUUUACACCAAAAGCAGAAAAAUUCUGUUGCAGCGAAAUCUAUAGCGAGUAGAAGCAGGGACUCUCUGAUUUCAUAUGGACCAAUUAAAAGCCAGCAAGCCAAGCAGAGUACCCAGUCCACAUAUGUCAGGAUGAAUGAGUCUUAUCUCAAUAGCGCCCUCUAUGAUAGUGUCUGGAGUGCAGUUGAAACAUUGAAUAAAGCUCGCUAUUCAACAUCAAUGAUGAAAGAUACGACCAGCAUUGGAAGAGCAGCAGUCCUGUGAUGAUCCAAAUGGGCAACAGUUGGCUGGCUGUAAGUGUCAUUUAGUCUUUAAGUGGACAGAUGAAAAAUUUGAAAAAGUCAACUACUGUAUAGUAAUUUGAAAGAAGCUAUGGAUUUGUAGCUAGUAUGUUAUUUUACAAGCUUACAGGUUUCAUUGAUCACUUUACUUUCAACAAAAAUAAGGACUAGAAAGCUUGAAAUGCUUACAAAGAAAAAGCAGUAAAACCAGAAACUGAAAUAAAGUACAUGAAAACAAAUUU